rnacentral:lncRNA from 1 species
UCUUGAAAAUGGAGACACUAUCGAAUUCAUGGAAAAAGGUGAAGUGUACAAGUAUUUGGGAUUCCAGCAGGCCAGACUUACAGAACAGAAGAAAACUAAACAAACACUGUCAAAACUGUAUAUCAACAGAUUAAAUAACAUUCUCAAAACACAUUCGAAUGGAAAAAACACAGUUAAAGCUAUCAACACAUUUUCUAUAUCAGUAUUAACUUACUCCUUUGGAGUGCUACAGUGGACACAGACAGAACUAGAAUCGCUCUAAAGAAAAACACGAACAACACUUACAAAAUACCGGUAUCAUCACCCGAAAUCUGUCGUAGAAAGAACUACUCUCCCACGCAAGGAAGGAGGACAUGGCCUUAUCGACAUUCCACAUUUACUCGACAGACA